CAGUCGCCGCGGUAAUACGGAGGGUGCAAGCGUUAUCCGGAUUUAUUGGGUUUAAAGGGUCCGUAGGCGGAUCUGUAAGUCAGUGGUGAAAUCUCACAGCUUAACUGUGAAACUGCCAUUGAUACUGCAGGUCUUGAGUAAAUUUGAAGUGGCUGGAAUAAGUAGUGUAUCGGUGAAAUGCAUAGAUAUUACUUAGAACACCAAUUGCGAAGGCAGGUCACUAAGAUUUAACUGACGCUGAUGGACGAAAGCGUGGGGAGCGAACAGGAUUAGAUACCCCUGUAGUCCCUGUCUCUUAUAC
rnacentral:rRNA from 1 species